GUUAGCUCAGCAGGUAGAGCAUCUCCCUUUUAAGGAGGUGGCCGUUGGUUCGAAUCCAAC
rnacentral:tRNA from 1 species